GACGAACGCUGGCGGCGUGCUUAACACAUGCAAGUCGAACGCGCCUGUCCUCUGGGUUUCUGGGGGGUGGGUGAGUGGCGAACGGGUGAGUAACACGUGAGUAACCUGCCCCCUUCUUCGGGAUAACGGUCUGAAAGGGCUGCUAAUACCGGGUAUUCACUGCUCUCCGCAUGGGGUCUGGUGGAAAGGUUUUUUUCUGGUGGGGGAUGGGCUCGCGGCCUAUCAGCUUGUUGGUGGGGUGAUGGCCCACCAAGGCUUUGACGGGUAGCCGGCCUGAGAGGGUGACCGGUCACAUUGGGACUGAGAUACGGCCCAGACUCCUACGGGAGGCAGCAGUGGGGAAUAUUGCACAAUGGGCGCAAGCCUGAUGCAGCGACGCCGCGUGAGGGAUGGAGGCCUUCGGGUUGUGAACCUCUUUCGCCCGUGGUCAAGCCGCGACGUGGGUCGUGGUGAGGGUAGUGGGUAAAGAAGCGCCGGCUAACUACGUG
rnacentral:rRNA from 1 species